CAGAAAAUAGUUUAAAUAAAAUAUUAAUUUUGGAGAUUAAUGAUAUAGGUUUCUUUUUUUCUGA
rnacentral:tRNA from 1 species